CAAUUUAAAAAUUUUUAUAUUAAGCUUCUAACUUAAUUAAUUAAUAAUUAAAUUUAUUAAAUU
rnacentral:tRNA from 1 species